CCCUCAUGGUGGACAGGAUCUUCAGCUUUGAGAUCAAUGUGAGCGUUGCCAUUAUCACCUUUGCCUCAGAGCCCAAAGUCCUCAUGUCUGUCCUGAACGACAACUCCCGGGAUAUGACUGAGGUGAUCAGCAGCCUGGAAAAUGCCAACUAUAAAGAUCAUGAAAAUGGAACUGGGACUAACACCUAUGCGGCCUUAAACAGUGUCUAUCUCAUGAUGAACAACCAAAUGCGACUCCUCGGCAUGGAAACGAUGGCCUGGCAGGAAAUCCGACAUGCCAUCAUCCUUCUGACAGAUGGAAAGUCCAAUAUGGGUGGCUCUCCCAAGACAGCUGUUGACCAUAUCAGAGAGAUCCUGAACAUCAACCAGAAGAGGAAUGACUAUCUGGCCCCAAAGCCACAGGAGUCUGGUGAUUUCCCUCUUCCCCACCAGACAUCUAUGCCAUCGGGGUGGGCAAGCUGGAUGUGGACUGGAGAGAACUGAAUGAGCUAGGGUCCAAGAAGGAUGGUGAGAGGCAUGCCUUCAUUCUGCAGGACACAAAGGCUCUGCACCAGGUCUUUGAACAUAUGCUGGAUGUCUCCAAGCUCACAGACACCAUCUGCGGGGUGGGGAACAUGUCAGCAAACGCCUCUGACCAGGAGAGGACACCCUGGCAUGUCACUAUUAAGCCCAAGAGCCAAGAGACCUGCCGGGGGGCCCUCAUCUCCGACCAAUGGGUCCUGACAGCAGCUCAUUGCUUCCGCGAUGGCAACGACCACUCCCUGUGGAGGGUCAAUGUGGGAGACCCCAAAUCCCAGUGGGGCAAAGAAUUCCUUAUUGAGAAGGCGGUGAUCUCCCCAGGGUUUGAUGUCUUUGCCAAAAAGAACCAGGGAAUCCUGGAGUUCUAUGGUGAUGA
rnacentral:misc_RNA from 1 species